GCGGGGAUCCGACCCGCUGCCCCCGCAAUGCAAGGCCGCGCUGGCCUUCCAUUGCAAGCAAGAGGAACAACACCAGUCCGCUCCCUGCAGCCAGGGGAGGGCCGUGCCAGUGCCAGUGGUUUUAUUACAAGCUGCUGACCGAGGAAGCAAGUGUGCCUGGAGGACAAGAAGGAGGCACCGGGUGAGGGCAUGCAGCAGACGCACAGUGAGCCAGAGGCACAAAGAACCCUGAGAUGAGACCCCACGGAGCUCAGAGCAGUGAGAAAGGCGAAUUAUGGGCAUCUCCAAAGGAUCAGGUCCUGAGCUCAUAAAUCCCAAUUUCCAGGCAGCCACGAAUCCCCAAAGAAUCCACGGUCGCUUUGGAAAACAUCAGCCAGGCCUCUGGUGUCCCCGGGGUAGAACAUGGAUCUCAAUAAAGCAGAGCAUCCGAUGGCUGCAUCUGUCCCACGCGCUGUCCGUGUCACACAGGUCCAUGCCUUGUGCCAAGCUCCUGGCCAUGCAGGAGGACCCCCAGAGAUAGGUUCCCCAGUAGUAUAUGACCCUGAUCGCCAAAGGACUCCCGCUCCCCACCUGCCUCCCCAGUCAUAGGAUGGCUUAGGUUGGAGGGGACCUCAAGGAUCGUCUUGUUUCAACCCCCCUGCCAUGGGCAGGGUUGCCAACCACUAGAUCAGGCUGCCCAGGAUCCCAUCUCACCAGGCCCUGA
rnacentral:lncRNA from 1 species